AUCUACGGGGGGCAGCAGUGAGGAAUAUUGGUCAAUGGGCGGAAGCCUGAACCAGCCAAGUCGCGUGAGGGAAUAAGGCCCUACGGGUCGUAAACCUCUUUUGCCGGGGAGCAAGGGCCGGGACGCGUCCCGGCCCGGAGAGUACCCGGAGAAAAAGCAUCGGCUAACUCCGUGCCAGCAGCCGCGGUAAUACGGAGGAUGCGAGCGUUAUCCGGAUUUAUUGGGUUUAAAGGGUGCGUAGGCGGGCUUUUAAGUCAGCGGUGAAAAUUCGGGGCUCAACCCCGUCCGGCCGUUGAAACUGGGGG
rnacentral:rRNA from 1 species